CCUACGGGCGGCAGCAGUAGGGAAUCUUCCACAAUGGGCGAAAGCCUGAUGGAGCAACGCCGCGUGGGUGAAGAAGGUCUUCGGAUCGUAAAACCCUGUUGUUAGAGAAGAAAGUGCGUGAGAGUAACUGUUCACGUAUCGACGGUAUCUAACCAGAAAGACACGGCUCACUACGUGCCAGCAGCCGCGGUAAUACGUAGGUGGCAAGCGGUAUCCGGAUUGAUUGGGCGUAAAGGUAACGCAGGCGGUCUUUUAAGGCUGAUGUGAAAGCGUUCGGCUUAACCGGAGUAGUGCAUUGGAAACUGGGAGACUUGAGUGCAGAAGAGGUGAGUGGAA
rnacentral:rRNA from 1 species